AUGCUCGUUUCAGCAGCACAUACACUAAAAUUGAAACAAUACAGAGAAGAUUAGCAUG
rnacentral:snRNA from 14 species